rnacentral:rRNA from 1 species
GACGCUGGCGGCGUGCUUAACACAUGCAAGUCGAACGAUGAACCGGAGCUUGCUCCGGGGAUUAGUGGCGAACGGGUGAGUAACACGUGGGCAACCUGCCCCAGACAUCGGGAUAACCAUUCGAAAGGAUGGCUAAUACCGGAUAUGACCACUUCGGGCAUCCGAUGGUGGUGGAAAGGAUUCUGGUCUGGGAUGGGCCCGCGGCCUAUCAGCUAGUUGGUGGGGUAAUGGCCUACCAAGGCGACGACGGGUAGCCGGCCUGAGAGGGCGACCGGCCACACUGGGACUGAGACACGGCCCAGACUCCUACGGGAGGCAGCAGUGGGGAAUAUUGCGCAAUGGGCGAAAGCCUGACGCAGCGACGCCGCGUGAGGGACGAAGGUCUUCGGAUUGUAAACCUCCUUCAGCAGGGACGAAGCGAAAGUGACUGUACCUGCAGAAGAAGCACCGGCUAACUACGUG